rnacentral:lncRNA from 1 species
CUCUUCCUGCUUCUCUCCACUUCCUGCUUCUCUCCUCUUCCCACUUUUCUCCACUUCCUGUUUCUCUUCUCUUCCUGCUUCUCUCCACUUCCUGCUUCUCUCCAUUUCCUGUUUCUCUUGCCUUGGGGAUGGGAGUCUCAGUCCCUCUUAUUGCUUUGGCCCUGUGGCGAUGAAUUUUGGGACUUUCAAUUUGUUUUCAUCUCUUUGCUCAGAUAGGAGAGCAAGAUUAAAUCCUCUGGGCCUGGUCAAAUCUGUGCUUGCUGUGUUUGAGAAGGAUAUCCUUGAGGUAUAGUACUCCAGGGCUGCUAAUAGGGG